GCGGUCCGUUCAAAGACAAACGGCUGCGGUGCACGUCCUGGCAUGGGCAGUGACAGACAGGAACACGCUUUGCCGCUUUGGGAUCUUCUCUUGGCAAUGGAGACGAAUUGGAAUUAGAAUUGGGGUAAAAGGUUUUGGACGAGACGGAAUCAUCUCGGGUUCGCGAUCGAUCAAUGUUUGUGGCCGGGGACGGAUUUGAUUAGGGGGAGGUUUUGAGGGAGAUUUGAUAUUUAGGAGGAGGAUCGUCGAGCGCUAAUGGACAUGCUUUUCGAGGGUCCCCCACACCUCAUGUUGUUUAUUUAUUUAUUUUAUAUUUAUUACUUUCUUUUUCUACGACGACGUGUUCUACAACCUCGCAUUAGAAAACAAUGAUCUAGCGCGUCGGAAUUUUAUCUUUUGGUUUUUGUUACUGUGUGUUGUGUGCUGUGUGUCGCCUUUCCUUUUGUUUGGGGUUAGUAUAUGAGAGCACGGAUAAUCAAUAACUGCAUUGGCGUGGUCAGAUUAUAUGGUUAGUUAUCGAGAGCUCGAGACCGAGCUAUCACAAGCAGUUGUCGCUGUUUUAUUUCACCGGAGUGAAUUUUGUGUUUUUUGUAAUGAUGACGAUCUGUUGACCUCUUGCUUACACGUGUGCACCAUUUUUUUUAGUGAAAACAAGGUCCAUUGCCAUUAGAAUAUUAGAACAAAGAAAAUCUGAGCUUGCGGUUACAAUAAGCUUGUCAAGCACUAUGCGUUACGGGCUGAGCGCACGAGAAAGUAUCCAAAAUGAUAGGAGCCACCGUCAACACCGUCAACGGAAGUGUGCCAAGUGGCGAUAGGGCGUGCAUCUCAAUUCAGUAACUGACGGGUCACAUGGCGUGUGUGAAGGAUCUUUCUCUUUGCAGU
rnacentral:lncRNA from 1 species